GAAAUGCGAUACGUAGUGUGAAUUGCAGAAUUCCGUGAAUCAUCGAUUUUUGAACGCAUAUUGCGGUCGAGGCUUCGGCCAAGACCAUGUCUGCCUCAGCGUCGGAGUAAACCCUCACCCUCACUCGUAAGAGUAAAGGUGGAGCUGGUCUCCCCAGCGUUCGCGCUGGGUUGGCUGAAAUCCAGAGGUACGCGCACGGACCUGUAUGGCACCAGCAAGGUAGGUAGCUCGUCUACUCCAGCUGAUGCUUUGGGCCCGCUGCCGCACCCGCAGGAAACCCACUCCCUAUCGACCUGAGAUCAGGCAAGGCUACCCGCUGAACUUAAGC
rnacentral:misc_RNA from 1 species